UACGGGGGGGGGUAAGCGUUGUUCGGAAUUACUGGGCGUAAAGGGCUCGUAGGCGGCCAACUAAGUCAGACGUGAAAUCCCUCAGCUUAACCUGGGGAACUGCGUCUGAUACUGGAUGGCUUGAUCGGAGAGGGAUGCGGAAUUCCAGGUGUAGCGGUGAAAUGCGUAGAUAUCUGGAGGAAUACCGGUGGCGAAGGCGGCAUCCUGGACCGAGAUUGACACUGAUGAGCGAAAGCUAGGGGAGCAAACGGG
rnacentral:rRNA from 1 species